CCUUCCGUAGUAUAGUGGUGAGUAUAUGAGCUUGUCAAUAUAUCCCGUCUUGCCGGCUGGAGCAUUUAAGAUAUUCGCUCGAGACCCGGGUUCAAUUCCCGCCGGGAGAG